UUGAGAAUGUUUUCCUUAUUUCCUUGUGCAAAUUGUAUAAAUAUGGUAGAGAACCAAUUCCAAAACAUUCGCAAUCUUUACUCUGCAUCGACUCGACCUAACGUCAAGUACCUAUCAAACCAACACCAUGCUGAAGGUAAUAUUCCUCCUUUCCUGUCUUGUGGCUAGCGGUCUCGGCGCCCUAUACCAUGGAAAUUCGUAUGGACAUGGCGGUGGCUAUUAUGGAAAUGGUUUGGGACUUCUAGGUAAUAACGGAUGGGGAUCCGGAUAUGGAGGCAAUUACUAUGGACACGGAGGCUACGGACUGGGAGGCUUCGGGUCGGGAGGCUACGGACGUGGAUAUGGAAACAGAUGGGGAAGAAGAAGUUCAAGAUUUGGUGGUUAUUAGGAAAACUUGUAGCAGAAAAAAAAAUCAAGGUUCAUCUGACGCAGCAUACUUUAUCAUUGUAUUUAUUUUCAUUAUGUUGUUUUCAAGUAAUAAAUCAUGUUUUUGUCAAA